rnacentral:rRNA from 1 species
CAGAUUGCAGGCUGCAACUCGCCUGCAUGAAGUCGGAAUUGCUAGUAAUCGUGGAUCAGCAUGCCACGGUGAAUACGUUCCCGGGCCUUGUACACACCGCCCGUCACACCAUGGGAGUCGGUAACACCCGAAGCCUGUAGUCUAACCGCAAGGAGGACGCAGUCGAAGGUGGGAUUGAUGACUGGGGGUGAAGUCGUAACAAGGUAAC